AAUAGAUACCCGGGUAGUCCACGCCGUAAACGAUGAGUGCUAAGUGUUAGAGGGUUUCCGCCCUUUAGUGCUGAAGUUAACGCAUUAAGCACUCCGCCUGGGGAGUACGGCCGCAAGGCUGAACUCAAAGGAAUUGACGGGGGCCCGCACAAGCGGUGGAGCAUGUGGUUUAAUUCGAAGCAACGCGAAGAACCUUACCAGGUCUUGACAUCCUCUGACAACCCUAGAGAUAGGGCUUCUCCUUCGGGAGCAGAGUGACAGGUGGUGCAUGGUUGUCGUCAGCUCGUGUCGUGAGAUGUUGGGUUAAGUCCCGCAACGAGCGCAACCCUUGAUCUUAGUUGCCAUCAUUAAGUUGGGCACUCUAAGGUGACUGCCGGUGACAAACCGGAGGAAGGUGGGGAUGACGUCAAAUCAUCAUGCCCCUUAUGACCUGGGCUACACACGUGCUACAAUGGACGGUACAAAGAGCUGCAAGACCGCGAGGUGGAGCUAAUCUCAUAAAACCGUUCUCAGUUCGGAUUGUAGG
rnacentral:rRNA from 1 species